rnacentral:rRNA from 1 species
CCUACGGGAGGCUGCAGUGGGGAAUAUUGCACAAUGGGGGAAACCCUGAUGCAGCGACGCCGCGUGAGCGAUGAAGUAUUUCGGUAUGUAAAGCUCUAUCAGCAGGGAAGAAAAUGACGGUACCUGACUAAGAAGCCCCGGCUAACUACGUGCCAGCAGCCGCGGUAAUACGUAGGGGGCAAGCGUUAUCCGGAUUUACUGGGUGUAAAGGGAGCGUAGACGGCGGUGCAAGCCAGAUGUGAAAGCCUGGGGCUGAACCCCGGGAUUGCAUUUGGAACUGUGCGGUGAGAGUGUCGGAGAGGCAGGCGGAAUUCCUAGGGUAGCGGGGAAAUGCGUAGAUAUUAGGAGGAACACCAGUGGCGAAGGCGGCCUGCUGGACGAUGACUGACGUUGAGGCUCGAAAGCGUGGGGAGCAAACAGGAUUAGAUACCCGGGUAGUC